CCUACGGGUGGCUGCAGUGGGGAAUAUUGGACAAUGGGCGAAAGCCUGAUCCAGCCAUGCCGCGUGUGUGAAGAAGGCCUUCGGGUUGUAAAGCACUUUCAGUGGGGAAGAAAGCCUUGGGGCUAAUACCCUCGAGGAAGGACAUCACCCACAGAAGAAGCACCGGCUAACUCCGUGCCAGCAGCCGCGGUAAUACGGAGGGUGCGAGCGUUAAUCGGAAUUACUGGGCGUAAAGCGCGCGUAGGCGGUCUGAUAAGCCGGUUGUGAAAGCCCCGGGCUCAACCUGGGAACGGCAUCCGGAACUGUCAGGCUAGAGUGCAGGAGAGGAAGGUAGAAUUCCCGGUGUAGCGGUGAAAUGCGUAGAGAUCGGGAGGAAUACCAGUGGCGAAGGCGGCCUUCUGGACUGACACUGACGCUGAGGUGCGAAAGCGUGGGUAGCAAACAGGAUUAAUACCCCAGUAGU
rnacentral:rRNA from 1 species